rnacentral:tRNA from 1 species
CAAGGAAUAGUUUAAGGCAAAAAUGUCAGCUUUGGGUGUUGAUGAUGGGGCUAAUGCUUCUUCCUUGA